CCUACGGGAGGCAGCAGUGGGGAAUAUUGGGCAAUGGGCGCAAGCCUGACCCAGCAACGCCGCGUGAAGGAAGAAGGCUUUCGGGUUGUAAACUUCUUUUAUCAGGGACGAAGCAAGUGACGGUACCUGAUGAAUAAGCCACGGCUAACUACGUGCCAGCAGCCGCGGUAAUACGUAGGUGGCAAGGGUUAUCCGGAUUUACUGGGUGGAAAGGGCGGGUAGGCGGGUGUGCAAGUCAGAUGUGAAAACUACGGGCUCAACCCAUAGCCUGCAUUUGAUACUGUACUUCUAGAGUUCUGGAGAGGCAAUCGGAAUUCCGUGUGUAGCGGUGAAAUGCGUAGAUAUACGGAGGAACACCAGUGGCGAAGGCGGAUUGCUGGACAGUAACUGACGCUGAGGCGCGAAAGCGUGGGGAGCAAACAGGAUUAGAUACCCCUGUAGUC
rnacentral:rRNA from 1 species